UGACCUGCGGAAGGAUCAUUACCGAGUGCGGGCUGCCUCCGGGCGCCCAACCUCCCACCCGUGACUACCUAACACUGUUGCUUCGGCGGGGAGCCCUCUCGGGGGCGAGCCGCCGGGGACUACUGAACUUCAUGCCUGAGAGUGAUGCAGUCUGAGUCUGAAUAUAAAAUCAGUCAAAACUUUCAACAAUGGAUCUCUUGGUUCCGGCAUCGAUGAAGAACGCAGCGAACUGCGAUAAGUAAUGUGAAUUGCAGAAUUCAGUGAAUCAUCGAGUCUUUGAACGCACAUUGCGCCCCCUGGCAUUCCGGGGGGCAUGCCUGUCCGAGCGUCAUUGCUGCCCAUCAAGCCCGGCUUGUGUGUUGGGUCGUCGUCCCCCCCGGGGGACGGGCCCGAAAGGCAGCGGCGGCACCGUGUCCGGUCCUCGAGCGUAUGGGGCUUUGUCACCCGCUCGAUUAGGGCCGGCCGGGCGCCAGCCGACGUCUCCAACCAUUUUUUUCAGGUGACCUC
rnacentral:rRNA from 1 species